AUGGAACAAUGGUUCCAGUUGGAGGAAAUUGCCAAAAGCAUUACCUUUACUGCCGAGCCGGAUGCCCUGAUUUGGCAGCUGGAUAAUAAGGGGAAGUAUUCCUCCAGCUCCCUCUAUCAUGUUAUCAACUUUAGAGGGGUUCAACUCGUGUUUAUCCCUGCUGUCUGGAAAUUGAGAGUUCCCCCUAAAAUUCAUGUAUUUCUCUGGCUUCUCUCCAAAAACAAAUCGAUGACUAAGGAUAACCUUAGGAAGAGACACAUCAUCAAACCCCUUGAUUGUGUUUACUGCUUGGAACAAGAGUCUUGUUCUCACCUAUUUUUUGAAUGUAUAGUUGCUAAACAUCUCUGGGCCCACAUUGAGAAAUAUUUCUCUAGUCAGAUUGGCUCAUCCUUCGAAUCUGUCGCCAGAUUCUGGAUUGCUACCAAAAAGUGCUCAGUUUCAAACACGGUUAGCUCAGCUGUCCUUUGGUGCCUUUGGAAAUAUAGAAAUGCUAUGAUUUUCAGUAACACCUCCUGCAUUUCCAUUCCGUAG
rnacentral:rRNA from 1 species